AGUGAACGCUGGCGGUAGGCCUAACACAUGCGAGUCGAACGGCAGCACAGUAAGAGCUUGCUCUUACGGGUGGCGAGUGGCGGACGGGUGAGGAAUACAUCGGAAUCUACUUUUUCGUGGGGGAUAACGUAGGGAAACUUACGCUAAUACCGCAUACGACCUACGGGUGAAAGCAGGGGAUCUUCGGACCUUGCGCGAUUGAAUGAGCCGAUGUCGGAUUAGCUAGUUGGCGGGGUAAAGGCCCACCAAGGCGACGAUCCGUAGCUGGUCUGAGAGGUUGAUCAGCCACACUGGAACUUAGACACGGUCCAGACUCCUACGGGAGGCAGCAGUGGGGAAUAUUGGACAAUGGGCGCAAGCCUGAUCCAGCCAUACCGCGUGGGUGAAGAAGGCCUUCGGGUUGUAAAGCCCUUUUGUUGGGAAAGAAAAGCAGCAGGUUAAUACCCCGCUGUUCUGACGGUACCCAAAGAAUAAGCACCGGCUAACUUCGUG
rnacentral:rRNA from 1 species